ensembl:snoRNA small nucleolar RNA SNORA61
ACCCUCCAGUUCUUUUUCCCAUUGAAUCUAAACACUGGGCUUGGUGGUUGUAAAGGAUGAAAAGGAAUGCUGAAACUGGCCUCACAGCCUUUAUAGCCUGGUAUAUUGCAUGUGGGCUAGUUUCAAAAGGGU